rnacentral:rRNA from 1 species
AUUGAACGCUGGCGGCAGGCCUAACACAUGCAAGUCGGACGGUAGCACAGGGGAGCUUGCUCCUCGGGUGACGAGUGGCGGACGGGUGAGUCAUGUCUGGGGAUCUGCCCGAUAGAGGGGGAUAACCACUGGAAACGGUGGCUAAUACCGCAUAACGUCGCAAGACCAAAGAGGGGGACCUUCGGGCCUCUCACUAUCGGAUGAACCCAGAUGGGAUUAGCUAGUAGGCGGGGUAACGGCCCACCUAGGCGACGAUCCCUAGCUGGUCUGAGAGGAUGACCAGCCACACUGGAACUGAGACACGGUCCAGACUCCUACGGGAGGCAGCAGUGGGGAAUAUUGCACAAUGGGCGCAAGCCUGAUGCAGCCAUGCCGCGUGUAUGAAGAAGGCCUUCGGGUUGUAAAGUACUUUCAGCGGGGAGGAAGGCGAUGUGGUUAAUAACCGCGUCGAUUGACGUUACCCGCAGAAGAAGCACCGGCUAACUCCGUGCCAGCAGCCGCGGUAA